AUCCGUGGGAAUUGACAGAUUGAGAGCUCUUUCAUGAUUCGGUGGCUGGUAAUACACGGCCGUUUUUAGCUGGUGGAGUGAUUUGUCUGGUUUAUUCCGAUAACGAGCGAAACUCUAGCCUGCUUAAUAGUUACUGGAUAAUUCUGUUCAGACAACUUCUUAGAGGGACAAGCGGUGUUUGACAGCAUAAACUUGAGCAAAAUAGGCUUUUAAAUUAAAUUACUCAAUAUAAAGCAAUAUUU
rnacentral:ncRNA from 1 species